rnacentral:rRNA from 1 species
UGGGGAAUAUUGGACAAUGGGCGAAAGCCUGAUCCAGCCAUGCCGCGUGUGUGAAGAAGGUCUUCGGAUUGUAAAGCACUUUAAGUUGGGAGGAAGGGCAGUAAGCGAAUACCUUGCUGUUUUGACGUUACCGACAGAAUAAGCACCGGCUAACUCUGUUCCAGCAGCCGCGGUAAUACAGAGGGUGCAAGCGUUAAUCGGAAUUACUGGGCGUAAAGCGAGCGUAGGUGGUUCGUUAAGUUGAAUGUGAAAGCCCCGGGCUCAACCUGGGAACUGCAUCCAAAACUGGCGAGCUAGAGUAGGGCAGAGGGUGGUGGAAUUUCCUGUGUAGCGGUGAAAUGCGUAGAUAUAGGAAGGAACACCAGUGGCGAAGGCGACCACCUGGGCUCAUACUGACACUGAGGUGCGAAAGCGUGGGGAGCAAACAGG